UUGCCGCAGGCUUCAGCAGCCAUCAGGCUGUGGCCCGGACAGCGGGGAGUGUGAUUCUCCGGCUCAGUGACAGCUUCUUCCUGCCCCUCAAAGUCAGUGACUACAGUGAGACACUCCGCAGCUUCCUGCAGGCAGCCGAGCAAGACCUCGGGGCUCUGCUGGAGCAGCACAGCAUCAGCCUGGGUAUGCAUAGCCGUGACCCUGAGGCAUGGGGAGCCCUGCACCCCCAGGACUAAGCCACUGCUUGUUCCUCACAGGGCCUCUGGUGACUGCAGUGGAGAAGUUUGAGGCAGAAGCUUCAGCCUUGGGCCAACGCAUAUCAACACUGCAGAAGGGCAGCCCUGAGUGAGCAAGGGCAGCGGGCAGGGGCUGGGAGGGCAGCAUCCAGGGCAGGAUACCAGGCUGGUAGCUGGGCUGCUGGCUCCAGGGUGACUGGUAGGUGCUGCCUCCACCAGCCCCCUGCAGGUCCGGAUGCUCAAUGACCAGUUGAUGCUCUUGGAACGGACCUUUCUGAACCCUAGAGCCUUCCCAGAGGAACGCUACUACAGGUGAGUCUGUCCCAGAGUCCUGGGAGGUGCCUCCAGGUGGGGCCGGGCAAUGGCCCCCCACCUGAGAUGAGGUGGUCAGCUUCUCUGCCCUUUAGAGUGCAACCCAGCCCCUGAAGAAGGUGGGAAUGUAAGGCUCAGGGAGGGGAGGAAAGUUGCUUGAGGGUCCCUCUGGGAGCUAGAACUGGAAUCCACAUUUCCUCUCCCCACCGCCACUGCUGUAAGAGCCCCCUGGCCUUCAGAGACAGGUGGAGGGGGGUGCUUUUCUGCCUUGCUGCGUACAGGAGCUGAGCCAGUUCUAGGCCCAGGCUUCUCUUUCCUGGCUCCUGACUGACCGUGAUCCUGUCCCAUUUCUCUUGUCAGCCAUGUGCUC
rnacentral:sRNA from 1 species